AGUGAACGCUGGCGGCGUGCCUAAUACAUGCAAGUCGAACGGAGUGGCGCACGGGUGAGUAAUGUAUAGCUAAUCUGCCCUACACUAGAGGACAACAGUUGGAAACGACUGCUAAUACUCUAUAGUGUAGGAUGAGGCUAUAUUGUAUCAGCUAGUUGGUGAGGUAAUGGCUCACCAAGGCGAUGACGCAUAACUGGUCUGUGGGGAUGAUCAGUCACACUGGAAGUGAGGCAGGGUGCGGGCUCCUACGGGAGGCGGCGGUAGGGUAUAUUGCUCAAUCGGGGAAACCCUGAAGCGGCAACGCCGCGUGGAGGAUGACACUUUUCGGAGCGUAAACUCCUUUUGUUAGGGAAGCGGUACCUAACGAAUAAGCACCGGCUAACUCCGUGCCAGCAGCCGCGGUAAUAC
rnacentral:rRNA from 1 species